AUGUCGUCCCCGCUAUCGUCGGUUCUCCCUCUCUCCCUGAUUGUUCCCAAUCGAUCUUUGAGCCACCACGAUUCCCAAAUCCAUCUCCUUGCUCCCCACCCUACCCAUGGCGCCGUCGAUGCCGACGGGUUACUACAAGUGCGGUCCAACCUAAUCCCCAACCCUGUCGUACGCACCUGCCACUUCGGCCCUACCACCAGAGACGAACACCCAAGUUCGUUGCGACGCCGGAGGGUGAGGAGGCGCAACACGAAGGCGGGAAGGAGAGGGAGACGCGGCCCAAUCUCAAGCCGAACCUGCUCCUCUCUGACAGCGGCUUGGGCUUCGUCCUCUGAUAAUUCUCCAAGACGGCCAUGCCCCACCCAGCCACGAGCUCAAACAGCUCAAGUUUCAAUCAAUCCUGGUCUGCUGAUAUGGAGAGCGCAAGACCUGGUCUUUGGUUCCUGGAACAAGUGA
rnacentral:rRNA from 1 species